UACGUAGGGUGCGAGCGUUGUCCGGAAUUACUGGGCGUAAAGGGAGCGUAGGCGGAUAGUUUAGUCAGAGGUGAAAGCCCAGGGCUCAACCUUGGAAUUGCCUUUGAUACUGGCUAUCUUGAGUACGGAAGAGGUAUGUGGAACUCCGAGUGUAGAGGUGAAAUUCGUAGAUAUUCGGAAGAACACCAGUGGCGAAGGCGACAUACUGGUCCGUUACUGACGCUGAGGCUCGAAAGCGUGGGGAGCAAACAGGG
rnacentral:rRNA from 1 species